GCCUUCGUGGUUUAAUGGCCAGCACGCUCGACGUGUAUUCGAGAGGUCCGUGGUUCAAGUCCCGGCGAGGGCA
rfam:Stegodyphus mimosarum contig102350, whole genome shotgun sequence.